rnacentral:rRNA from 1 species
GACGAACGCUGGCGGCGUGCCUAAUACAUGCAAGUAGAACGCUGAAGGAGGAGCUUGCUUCUCUGGAUGAGUUGCGAACGGGUGAGUAACGCGUAGGUAACCUGCCUGGUAGCGGGGGAUAACUAUUGGAAACGAUAGCUAAUACCGCAUAAGAGUAGAUGUCGCAUGACAUUUGCUUAAAAGGUGCAAUUGCAUCACUACCAGAUGGACCUGCGUUGUAUUAGCUAGUUGGUGAGGUAACGGCUCACCAAGGCAACGAUACAUAGCCGACCUGAGAGGGUGAUCGGCCACACUGGGACUGAGACACGGCCCAGACUCCUACGGGAGGCAGCAGUAGGGAAUCUUCGGCAAGGGACGGAAGUCUGAGCGAGCAACGCCGCGUGAGUGAAGAAGGGUUUCGGAUCGUAAAGCUCGGUUGUAAGAGAAGAACGAGGGUGAGAGUGGAAAGUUCACACUGUGACGGUAUCUUACCAGAAAGGGACGGCUAACUACGUG